CCUACGGGAGGCAGCAGUGAGGAAUAUUGGUCAAUGGGCGAGAGCCUGAACCAGCCAAGUCGCGUGAAGGAUGACGGCCCUACGGGUUGUAAACUUCUUUUGUCAGGGAGCAAUUGGGUCCACGCGUGGGCUUAGCGAGAGUACCUGAAGAAAAAGCAUCGGCUAACUCCGUGCCAGCAGCCGCGGUAAUACGGAGGAUACGAGCGUUAUCCGGAUUUAUGGGGUUUAAAGGGUGCGUAGGCGGAAUAUCAAGUCAGCGGUAAAAAUUCGGGGCUCAACCCCGUCGUGCCGUUGAAACUGAUGUUCUUGAGUGGGCUAGAAGUAUGCGGAAUGCGUGGUGUAGCGGUGAAAUGCAUAGAUAUCACGCAGAACUCCGAUUGCGAAGGCAGCAUACCGGCGCCCAACUGACGCUGAAGCACGAAAGCGUGGGUAUCGAACAGGAUUAGAUACCCCUGUAGUC
rnacentral:rRNA from 1 species